UUAUUGAACUCAUUUCUAUUUCCUCCUAUCAGAGCUCCCAAAUGCUCUGCAAUUGACUGUCUCUUCUCCGAUCCCACUUUGUCGGAGAAGACGAUGUUUGUCAGCCAAGGGCGGUGGCACCACCUUUUUCUCCAACGAACCACCGCCAAAAACCCAAAAUCUAAAACACUAACCCCUCUCUUUUUCUCUCCUUAAUCCAAAUCCAUCAUCAAUUUACCAUAAAUCCCUCAUAUAUGACCGACUUGACUCUUAACAGAACCAAAACUCUAAAUCUUAAUUUAAACCAUAAUCAUUCGUAUUUUUAUACAAUUGAAACAACGUUUUUGCUGAGCUCAACAAGGCAAAGAGAAUGACAAUAAGAAAUCAGAGGAAAAAGUGAGGUACUCACCAAAUCGGAGCUAGUCCCAUGAAUACUUCGGUGAGGAUGAGUGUUGGAUGGUGCAUUGGAGCAUGUAUGGUAAAUGAGUAGGAUGGUCUUGUUUACAAACACUUGGAAUGGAUUUUGUUAGGUAGCAGCCAAUAUUGAAUUGGAAGUUUCAUUGACAGAUGGUUGGUUCUUUCUUGGUUGAUAGUCUUGUCAUUGUUAUUUGAUGCAUGUUGUUAUGUUGCGGCUUUGAUGUGGCAGCUUUGCAAUGUUUGGCAUGAGGCGUGGCUUGGUGAUGUAGAUUUUUGGUGAUUGAUCAUGAAAUGGAAAUGAAUGACUUGAAGAUGAAGAAAGAACAAGGUUUUAGGCAUGGUGAGCUUGGAUGGAAUGAAAAGAUUGUUGGACACUAGCAAAUUAAGUUUUAGAGUCCUUAGGUUUUAGGUUUUUGAUUUUUUUAGCAAAGUUUUCAAAAUGUAAAACCAGUUGGUGAAUGUAAAUUAAUUUCUAAGCUUUUAUUUCUAAUGCAAAUGUGAACUUGCCAAUGUAAAAUUCAAAUGCAACUCUUUCUUUUUAUGCUCC